rnacentral:rRNA from 1 species
AGUGAACGCUGGCGGUAGGCCUGACACAUGCAAGUCGAACGGCAGCACAGUAAGAGCUUGCUCUUACGGGUGGCGAGUGGCGGACGGGUGAGGAAUACAUCGGAAUCUACUUUUUCGUGGGGGCUAACGUAGGGAAACUUACGCUAAUACCGCAUACGACCUACGGGUGAAAGCAGGAGAUCUUCGGACCUUGCGCGAUUGAAUGAGCCGAUGUCGGGUUAGCUAGUUGGCGGGGUAAAGGCCCAACAAGGCGACGAUCCGUAGCUGGUCUGAGAGGAUGAUCAGCCACACUGGAACUGAGACACGGUCCAGACUCCUACGGGAGGCGACAGUGGGGAAUAUUGGACAAUGGGCGCAAGCCUGGUCCAGCCAUGCCGCGUGGGUGAAAAAAGCCUUCGGGUUGUAAAGCCCUUUUGUUGGGAAAGAAAAGCAGCAGGUUUAUCCCCCGCUGUGCUGACGGUACCCAAAGAAUAAGCACCGGCUAACUUCGUG